UUGCGCAUGGUUAUUCAUAAAAUUUAAUACGCAUCUAAAAACAUUAAGUGCAGUUUAUGUAUAAUGUUUGACAGAUAAACGCAUUAAAAAUGAAAAUUUAUUUGACAUUACGUUUAUUUCUUUGUGUUUUAAUUUUAAGGGAAGCUUGCCCUAAAAAUGCAGAAGAAAAAGUGGCAAUGUCCGACCACUACCUUUUAAGUGAAGAGUAUAUUGUAAAGAUGAACAGGGCCCCAAGCAGAGGUCCUUAUUUUGAUACUUCAGCUACAAAAAAUGUUACGUCUUUAGUUGGAAAAACAGGACAUUUGAAUUGUCGCAUAAAAAAUCUUGGAAAUAAAACGGUACAUUGGACUGAACUUAAUAGAUUUUGUGAUUUCAUGGGCCCAAAACUACGUUAAUACAUUGUGUAUUAUUCCAGGCGCAACUUUAUCGUUUUAGAGUUUUCUAAAGUGUGCUAAUUGUGUAAAAAGUUACUUGAUAUAAAUAAAAACUCGUUUGUUGGCCUAUA